UGACUAAGGUUUCCUGGGGAAGGCUCGUCCGCCCAGGGUUAGUCGGGACCUAAGCCGAGGCCGACAGGCGUAGGCGAUGGACAACAGGUUGAUAUUCCUGUACCCGUUGUUUUUGUUUGAGCAAUGGAGGGACGCAGGAGGCUAAGAAGUGCAGACUGAUGGAUAUGUCUGUUCAAGCAGUAAGUCUUGGUAGGAGUCAAAUGCUUCUACCUAUACGGACAAGCUGUGAUGAGGAGGGAAAUAAUAGUACCGAAGCUUCUGAUGUCACACUGCCAAGAAAAGCUUCUAGUGAGAAAACAACGGCCCGUACCGCAAACCGACACAGGUAGUCGAGGAGAGAAUCCUAAGGUGAGCGAGAGAACUCUCGUUAAGGAACUCGGCAAAAUGACCCCGUAACUUCGGGAGAAGGGGUGCUGCUCUAACGAGCAGCCGCAGUGAAUAGGCCCAAGCGACUGUUUAUCAAAAACACAGGUCUCUGCAAAAUCGAAAGAUGACGUAUAGGGGCUGACGCCUGCCCGGUGCUGGAAGGUUAAGAGGAGUGCUUAGCGUAAGCGAAGGUA
rnacentral:rRNA from 1 species